rnacentral:misc_RNA from 1 species
GUGUUUUCUCUUGCCAUUAUAGUUUCUAUCAUGACUAUUUACAUAUAAAUAUGUUCCCUGCAAUGCAUUGGUGAACCGCUGAAUUGUUUAUUUCCACGUUCAGAUGCCUUAAAUAUGAACUCAUUUAAGUACGAAUUAAUACAUUUUGAUACAUAUAUUUUUGAUGAUUUCGUUAAUAAAAUGUACUUAACAACAGAAACUUAUGUCUGGUUAAUAUAAUUAUAAGAGAUGCAUGGGA